rnacentral:rRNA from 1 species
CGGACGGGUGGGUAAUGCUUAGGAAUCUGCCCAGUAGUGGGGGACAACUCGGGGAAACUCGAGCUAAUACCGCAUACGCCCUAUGGGGGAAAGUGGAGGAUCUUCGGACUUCACGCUAUUGGAUGAGCCUAAGUCGGAUUAGCUUGUUGGUGAGGUAAAGGCUCACCAAGGCGACGAUCCGUAGCUGGUCUGAGAGGACGAUCAGCCACACUGGGACUGAGACACGGCCCAG